AUGGACGAGUCCCAAAUAGGACGAAACGCGCGUCACGGAU
rnacentral:hammerhead_ribozyme from 1 species